GGUACAACUAAAAAACUACAGAAUCGUUAUCAGUGUUCUCUCGCCUCAGUUCCUAUCUCUGACUCAGUCACUGCUGUCUCGGUCUCCCUUGCUGAGGAACAGCUUGAGGCUGCCCAGGUUCCUGCCCCAUUGGCCCAGGCCCUGAGCUGGGUGGACCUUGUCUCCUGACUUAAGCCUUCCCAGAAGAAUCACAGGAUCUCAGAGCUGGGGGUGACCUUAGAGGCCAUUUAGACCAACGUGCGUCUGGACGGGAAGCCCCUCUACAGCAUUCAUGAGAAGGUGUCACAACCUCUGCUGGAGCACCUCCAAGAAUGGCGCGCUCCAUAGCUCCUCAGGCAGCGCAUCGACUGCGGGCCUGUACAAAAAGCAGGACUUCCCGUCAUGCAUUCUGACCUUGGGUAGCAAAGAGCUUUUGCACCUGGCCUGUGGCUCUCGGACCCUGUGCAGUGGACACUGGGAAGCAGACUUAGGACCAAUCAUAGGCGCAUGAAUUGGAUUGAAGUGAGGCAGAACUACACAAGGUCAUCAGCCUUGCCCUCUUCCUGAGUCACUGAAGUCCAGUGGCAGAACAAAAGUCAAGACAACUGGCCGUGGCUCUGGACACAGGGGAUGACCUUGGACUGAGGUCAUCUGCUUCAGUCACCUUCAUUGCCGGAACCAAUUGUUCUCAUGUGCCCAUCCCAGCGGGGGAAGUCUUCACGUGCUUGGGGUAGACGUUCCCUUACUCAUGACGGGUCUGAGGCCUGUCAGUUCCCCGGGUGUGGCCGCUGCACAAGCUUCUUGGCGUUAGUGCUGCUAAAAUAACCAGGCCAGGAGCAAAAGGAGGGAUAAGAAUGAGAAGGGAGCCUGAGUGCUGGAGAAUGGCAGCCGUCAUAGACUCCAUGAAGCAAAGCGCCAGCGGUGGGGGGAAUAUGUUUCUUCCCCCACACACCCUCUGUGUCUCUGGCUUGUCCUCUUUGGAGCACAGGCGGGGCCUCAAACAUAUCCGCCUGUAUUCUCUCUUCACCAUCUGCUGGUGAGGGCACCUGCAGGCCUUUCCCUAAAUACCCUGAUCUCCCAUCUCCAGAAAGGUAAGUGGAAGGAAUCUGGGAUGGCCAGAGGCAGAGGGCUCCGAAUGGGCUCACCUUACCAAGUUCCCUUUUUUUUUCUUAAUAUUUGGAUACAGUGGAUUGAUUACUUAUGUCUGGUAGCUGAAAAGGUUGUUUGAUAAAGAUGGGAAAUUCCACGUGCAGUAUGGGGACAAGGACAGAGAGCUCUAAUUUUUAAUGACUUGCCCAGGGUCACAUGGCUAGUAAGUGUCUGAGGCCAGAUUUGAGCCCAAUUCCAGGGCUUGGAGCUCCAUCCACUGCGCAAGCUACCUGGCCUAGUUUUGAUUACAUGAACUUUAAAAGCUUCUGCAUGAAUGAAAUCAAUUCAGUUUGGAUAAGAAAGGAAAAUUUAGGAAAAAAUCUUGGUAUCCGAUAUGCGUAGGGGACUAAGAUAUAUAUGCUGUCCCCAAAUGGGGAAGUGAUCAGAGGGUAGGAAAGAGUAAUUCUGAAAGCAAAAACGAGCUAUUUGGGGAGGAAAUGGAAGAUAGAGAAAGAAGGGAGGGAAAGUUAAAAAAAAAAAAAGUCCAGCUGGUCCCCACUUUGUGGAGAAAGCAGUUCGGAGCUGGAUGCAGGGCCCCUGGGAGCCCUGAGGGCUCUGUUGGUGGAUCAGCAGGGUCAGAGGUCAGAGGUUGGAGGCCAUGUGAGGAGCAUGAGUUGCCAUGGUUACACUCAAUGCCUCUGAAUGUUCACUGCAUGUAUCCGCUCUCCUAAAGUUGCUGAGGGAACUCUUCGGGGUGAGUACUCAGACCCACACUGUGUUUGGGGAGAAUAGUCAAUUCAACUCAACUCUCAAUUCAAUUAGCAUUGAUUCUGUCCUCCUUAUGUGUCAGGAAAAGACAAAAACGGGCUCUGUCCUCAAGGAGGCUCCAUCAUAAUCAGAAGAGCAAAUCCAUGCUGAAAAUUAAUGCAAGAUAUGUACCAAAUCAUUAUGGGGUACAGGGAUAGGGGAAGAACUGACAGGUGGGGGGGCAUCAGGAGAGGCAUCUGGAAGGCAUUGGUAUUGAACAAGCCUUUGAAGGGGCAAAGGGUUCCCUGGGGGGGGGUAGGGAUGAGGAGGGAGUACAUUCCCAGUUUAAAGGUGGGGUCAGAAGCCCAUUCCACUUACCCCGGGGAAUUGGAGAUCCAAGCAAGUGGUAAGCCAGGAGACAGCAUUCCAGCCAAUGCUUGGGGAAAGGAAAGCCCCAUGGGACUGGCCUCCUCUCCCCAUCCCCUCAGCCAAGACAGCCCCUUGGGACUGACCUCCUCUCCCCAUGCCCCGGGCCAGGGGUGGACCUCAAGAACAUCGGAGCACUGGAAGGUUUUGGACUUGCCAUUUUCCUACUGAUGGCCAAGAAGCAUCCCCCGAAUCUGCACGGGAAGCCAAGGACGGUCUGGAUGAAAUCACGAAAACCGACUGGGGGCUCUCCAAGGAGCCCUCCAGCAAAAGGACUUCUUGGAGCUCCAAGUUACCGAGUCUGCACCUGGGGUCUAAGCUUGGGCUCACUUUCCCCUAGACCCUGUACACACUCGUGUGAGAAUGUGCACAGACGGUUUUCUUGAGGCAGGGGACAGCAGGGGGACCUUCAUGUCUCUCCAGACUCCACUCCUGACUCUCUGAACUUCCUUCUCUAUCACGCCCCUCCCCACUCCCUUCAUGUUAUUGUCUUUUACCGUUGGAAUGUAAACUCCUUGAGGGCAAGCUGUCUCUUCACUUCUACAUUUGUAUUCCCAGCACAGUG